UACGAGUGCCUCAAGCGUUAUCCGGAAUCAUUGGGCGUAAAGGGUGUGUAGGCGGCGAUGUUAGUCUCGCGUAAAAUCCUUCGGCUCAACCGAGGGCUCGCGCGGGAAACGGCAUUGCUAAGAGGAUGGUAGGGGUCUCUGGAACUCUAGGUGUAGCGGUGAAAUGCGUAGAGAUCGGGAGGAACAUCUGUGGCGAAGGCGGCCACCUGGACCAACACUGACACUGAGGCACGAAAGCGUGGGGAGCAAACAGG
rnacentral:rRNA from 1 species